UUGCCGAAUGUUUGAAAGAUCUGAGCACAGGAAGCCAAAGAGAUGAGAGAGGUUUCCUGUCUGCGCUGUUGGACAAAGAGUUACAUGUAGGCGUAUUUUGAUGGGAAGAAACCUCACUGAGAUCACUCGGCUGACUCCUGCAAUACCGAAGCUGCACUGUGAUGGACUGGCCACCUGUCCAUGGUGUUUCCCUGCCUUCGGCCCGAGACAGCUGGGAUAGGCUCCAGCACUACCCACGACCCUGCAUAGGACAAGUGGCUAUAGAAGAUAUAGAGUGUGAAUGUUUGCAUUUUUUUGUAUUGUCUUGUAUACUAUUCCACUUUGUGGGGGGCCAAAGGCAAAUUUCCAUGAGAGUGGACAAUAAAGAUUCAAUCUAAAAUGUAAAAAUAUUGUCUAUAUUCCUGCGAGUAUCAGUGGUUGUUGUCCAGCAUAAUGAAACAUUCUGGGUCUAAACAAAGUAAUGAACUGUAAGUCUAUAAUCCUGGAUGUAGUUAAAAUUGCAUGAUUCAUCUGAACCAGUAAGCUUGAAGAAAUGUGUUUUUGUACAUUCAGAAGUUCCAAACGUGUGCUAUAGACGCAAUUCUGUUCAAUGGCCAGCAGUCACACCCUUGACUAUCUCUCAUUCUAACAAAACUGCCUAACAGAUGAACACAAGAACUGUCCCAGACUAACCUGUUCUUCAUGCUUAAAGGAACAGAAGAAAUAAAAAUUC